GCCUGGGUGGCUCAGUCGUGGGGUGUCCGACUUCAGCUCAGGUCAUGAUCUCACAGUUCGUGGGUUCAAGCCCCGCAUCAGGCU
rnacentral:tRNA from 1 species